AGUGCUGCAUCUGUGACAUCAGAGUGCUUCUAAAAUCUGAGGGAAGCUGAAGUUAGAGGCAAGGCAGGUUUCUUUUGAGAAGGAUGAAAAAAAUGACUGAGUCAUACAAGUCAGGCAACAUUGCUUGAGAAGUUUUACUCAACAGAGGAGCCUGAAGGAAUUGGACCAAGUUAACUGAGGCAUGGGAACAGCUCCUUUUGAACACUCCCCGUCUUGCCAAUGCCAUAUUAAUGACCACGGAAAACAAAACUGGCUCAGGAGCAGUGUUUGCACACAGACGUUUCCAGACGUUACAAAAGCCCAAGAAUCAUAGUGAAGAAAGAAGAAGGGUCUUUAAAAUUCUUCAGCUUCCACUUGACCUACAUUUGAGUUCGUCGGCUGUGGGCAGUAGACAAACCCCUCAGGAAAGCCAGAUUUGAUGCAGCUUGAGACAUAAUAUGAGCAUUUGCUGCACAGCAGGCUGUGGGCCAGGGAGGGGGAAAAAAGGCAUACCCCUGUAUUUUUGUAAACAGCUCCUCUGUGUUCAGAGCCAUAGACUGGAUGAAAUCUGCCUUACUGCUUUCUAAUGACAUUUACAUUGUGUAUUUAAAUAUUUCAGAGCCUGAAAA